rnacentral:rRNA from 1 species
UGGGGAAUAUUGCACAAUGGGCGCAAGCCUGAUGCAGCGACGCCGCGUGGGGGAUGAAGGCCUUCGGGUUGUAAACCCCUUUCAGCAGGGAAGAAGCGAGAGUGACGGUACCUGCAGAAGAAGCGCCGGCUAACUACGUGCCAGCAGCCGCGGUAAUACGUAGGGCGCAAGCGUUGUCCGGAAUUAUUGGGCGUAAAGAGCUCGUAGGCGGUUUGUCGCGUCUGGUGUGAAAACUUAAGGCUCAACCUUGAGCUUGCACAGGGUACGGGCAGACUAGAGUGCGGUAGGGGUGACUGGAAUUCCUGGUGUAGCGGUGGAAUGCGCAGAUAUCAGGAGGAACACCGAUGGCGAAGGCAGGUCACUGGGCCGCAACUGACGCUGAGGAGCGAAAGCAUGGGGAGCGAACA